rnacentral:lncRNA from 1 species
AAACUAUGCUGACCAGGGACACUGUAGACCUGUGGCUCAUUUUUGCAUAAAGGUUAUCUGUUUAUUGUCUGAUUUGGUCAUGCCUAUAGGCCAAUAGUGUUUUAUUUUGAAAUGUUUCAAACUUACAAUAAGGCACAAAAAUAAUAUAAUAGACACCAUGGUCUCAGCAUCACUUAAAAUGUUCCCAUCCUGCAAAUUCACACGACAAUAUUAACCUUAAAUGUAAAUGGGCUAAAUGAAAAGAACUAGAGAUGCAAGAGCAAACACAUUCAAAAACUAGCAGAAUUGCAUUUCUAGUUCUUUUAAUUGUGAUGUUAGGGUGUCAAUUUUGGAUCUUUCCUGCUUUCUCUUGCGGGCAUUUAGUGCUAUCAAUUUCCCUCUACACACUGCUUUGAAUGUGUCCCAGAGAUUCUGGUAUGUUGUGUCUUUGUUCUCAUUGGUUUCAAAGAACAUCUUUAUUUCUGCCUUCAUUUCGUUAUGUACCCAGUAGUCAUUCAGGAGCAGGUUGUUCAGUUUCUUUUGCCAACAUCUGUUAUUUUUUAACAUUUUAGUAAUAGCUAUUUUGACUGCUGUGAGGCUGUAUUGUUGUGGUUUUAAUUUGUAUUUCUCUGAUGAUUGGGGAUGUGGAGCAUUUCAUUCAUAUGCUCUUCAUCCAUUUAUAUAUCUUCUUUUGCAAAAUGUCUCUACACACCCUUUGCCCACUUUUUAGCAAGGUUAUUUGGGUUUUGUUGUUGUUGAGUGGUUCGAGCACCUUGUAGAUUCUGGAUUUAAGUCUUUAAUCCAUGCUGAGUUAAUAUUUGUAUAUGGCUAGAGACAGGAUUCAGUUUCAUUCUUCUGCAUGUGGCUAUCCAAUUUUCCCAGCACAAUUUAUUGAGCAAGAUGUCCUUUCCCUAAUGUAUGUUUUUGUCAACUUUGUCAAAGAUUAGUUGGCUGUAUGUAUGUGGCUUUAUUUCUGAGUUCUCUAUUCUGUUCUAUUGAUCUAUGUGUCUAUUUUUUUACACAAGUACCAUGCUGUUUCUGGGUACUACAGCCUUGUAGUAUAAUUUGAAGUCAGUUAAUGAGAUGUUUCCAGGUUUGUUCUUUUGCUUCAGAUUGCUGUCAUUCUUUGGGAUCUUUUUUCGGUUCCAUAUAGAUUUUAGGAUUGUGUUUUCUAAUUCUGUAAAAAAUGACAUUGGCACUUUGAUAGAAGUUGCA